UCCAAUCCCAGCUUUUUGAUGAGUGCCUCUGGGUGAUAAUACCCAUUUUUAAAUACCUAUUUCUCACAUUCACACCUUAAAUAUUUAGAAAUACUUGUAAUUGGAUUCGUACAUUUAUGUAAAGAUCUGCAUAUUAGAAUUCUGAGGGUUUAAAAAGUUAUAGACUUAUUGCCUUUUGAGAUAUCCUCUUUGCUAUGCUCAGAGGGAUUUUUUUUAAAAAAAUCCCUCCUUGGUCAUAUUGAUUAACUUGAUUAACAAGGAUCUACUUAAAUCACAGUAUGUAAAACGAUUUUUCUUCUUCUUCAGUACUUGCACUACAAUCCACCAGAGCACUGCAAACCACCACAUCCCAAAGGGCACAGCAUGCUACUCACCCUUUCCUGAAGCAGGUAAGGAGAGAACAAGAGAAGAGGUAAGAUAUAAGAGGCAGGUAAAGCUCCUGGCUAAUAGUAGGCUGGAUCUGAUGCACCUAAAAGCUCAUUGAGGAGCAGGGACAGUUCUGCAAUCAGGCUGUCACCUUAACUGAUAGAUGCUGAGGAGUAGAAGCAAGGUGUUUGAAGUGAGGACUGUGUGCUGUGCAGCUGGUCUUGUGUGCCUUAAGCUAACCUGCUUCCUUCCGGUGCAGUGGAGGAUGCUGUCUCAUUGCCUCUGUUCAAGCGGUAUAUCACUUUGGCUUUUAUGAAUGCAAGGAGAAAGGGACACUACCUUGUUCUUUGUCUCAGACAGCAAAAUGUCUCAGCCUGGCCUUGCUCAAUGCAAGCUGCCACUAAUGUCUGGACUGCUGGAUGAGUUUUGCAACCGUGCUACCUGCACCACCAUUCUACUUCCACCAGUGAGUGGACAUGUAUGCUGCACAGUGGCUGGAAUGUCUGUCAAGAUUUCAGGUGAGAAUCAGUUCUCUGCUCUGCUACACACUACCUAUAGGACACCAAGGAAUCAGCUUGGAGACAUCAAAUCCAUAAGAGAAGUACUGACACAUGAAGAAAGAAGCUUAAUGCCUUGUCUCAACGAGCAGAUUCUAAGAUUCAUAGGCAAGAAACAGUUUCACUGGGAGGUUUCAUUACUGAAACCUGGACAUGUCAGCUAUGACAUAAAAAUUCCAUAG
rnacentral:lncRNA from 1 species